rnacentral:tRNA from 1 species
UGCAGUGUCACCUAAUAGGUUAAGGUACUCGCCUCAUAAGCGAGGAUAUGCAGGUUCGAGUCCUGCCACUGCAA